CAAGGCCAAGACCAAGAGCAACGGCACCCACUACCGCUGCAUCUGGGGCAAGGUCUCCCGCCCCCACGGCAACACCGGCGUCGUCCGCGCCAAGUUCACCUCCAACCUGCCCGCCGAGGCCAUGGUGAGUUGCUCGGUCGAGCUUCUCCGGUUGUCUGUUUCGGUGGCAUGCGUGCUGCUCUUUGAUGCACUGACUUGCGCUGCCUGCUGACGGUUCUGUCGUGUUUGCUUUGCUCAGGGGAAAAAGGUCAGGGUCUUCAUGUACCCGAGCAGCAUCUAAAAGGUUAGAAUCGAUCCAUUGCUGGUUAUUUGUUUACCAUCCAAGCGUCAGUUCCAGAAUGUGUUAUUGCCUGAUGCACAAAUUUCUAGAUCGAAUUGUCAGUUAUUCAUGAUUCAUCCAUGUGUAUUUUGUUUAGUCAGUGUAAAAUCUUGAUUACACACUUGCAAUAUGUAAUAUGUGCUGGCAUUCUCUCUCGAGCAAAUUGCAUAGUGAAGUGGGAAAUGGGCACUACUUGUCUAUACUGAAUUUGGUCCCAUGUGUAAAUUUGUGUAUGGUGUAUGGAUAUUCCUGCUCCUAAACUAUUGCUGGACAUGUGACUUCACCUUGACCAACCAAGGAUUAGUCGCUUGGAAGUUGCAUAAAAGAUAACUGCAUUAUUUAGCACUUAGGCAUUUGCAAGUACUGUUAAUAAAUCAUUUUUUACUUGCUCUGAAUAAGAGAGAGGGACAGAUUGAUGGUAGGGAUGUGGAAUUGCUGGGUGUAUUUCUCGUACAUGAUCAAGAUUUUUAGUUCGAUGACAUUCUGUUGCCAUGAUAUCUUAUUUUGUGCAUAAUUAUGGUUCGAAAUUCUUCAUGUAAAUCUUGAUUCACAGCCUUCUGUUUGAUCCCCUGCUAAUUUUAUACGUCGCAUCGAAUGCAGGUUAUUUUGAAGUGUGGAGGAUUUCGCUCGUCCCUUAGGUUUCAUUUCAGAGUCUUGUAAGAUGGAUUCAGGCCUGGAUAGCAAGUUCAACUGCUGUUUCCCUGUGAAGAACUGUAGUCUUCAUGUUAUCUUGAAUGUGUGGGUCGCACAUUAUAUGAUGUUAUAUGUAGUUCGAACCUGAUGCUAUGUUUUGCCCACUUUUUGCGUUCUAUCCUUGCAAUUUUAGCUAUCAAAUCUGAUUCAGAGAUGUUUUUACUCCUCUUUUAUGCAUGUUUAUAUGCCCUUUUGAUGAUUGGUGGAAGUGGUUUAAUUGGCUUGGCACUGACGAGCGCGAGAACUUGUUCGUUUGGGAAGAUUAAAAUGCCUUUUAUGGAAAUUGUUGAACGCCACUGUAUGUUAGACUAACGAGUCUCAUGUACUUUGUGCUUAUCGUCUCCCCGAAGAUUAGCUGUUAGCUAGCCUCUAGGAGGUUGUCAGCACGUUUCCAUGCCCCCUGUGCAUGUAUUUUUAGCCCCUGGCAAGAAACUAGGAUUUCUGGAAAAACUGUAUCUGGUAACCAUUUGGUGUUUAUACAACAACAGCAACAAAGCCUUUAGUCCCAAACAAGUUGGUGUAGGCUAGGUGAAACCCAUAAGAUUCAGCAACCAAUUCAUGGCUUUGGCACAUGGAUAGUAAGCUUUCAUGCACCCUUGUCCAUAGCUAGCUCUUUGGUGAUACUUCAAUCCUUCAGGUCUCUCAUAACGGACCCCUCUCAUAUCAAAUUCGGUCUACCCCGCCCUCUCUUGACAUUCUUCGCACGCUUUAGCCGUUCGCUAUGCACUGGAGGCCUGCGCUGAAUAUGCGGUCCUUCCUCGUGUGGCCACGCAUCCAUCUCAACAUACGCAUCUCCGCCACACCUAACUGUUGAAAAUGUCGCCUUUUAGUCGGCUAACACUCAACGCCAUACAACAUUGCAGGUCGAACCGUCGUCCUGUAGAACUUGCCUUUUAGCUUUUGUGUCACAGAGAAUGCCAGAAGUUUGGCGCCACUUUAUCCAUCCGGCUUUGAUUCGAUGGUUCACUACUUCAUCAAUACCCCCAUCCUCCUGCAACAUUGAACCCAAAUAUCGAAAGGUGUCCUUCUGAGGUACCACUUGGCCAUCAAGGCUAACCUCCUCCUCCUCACACCUAGUAGUACUGAAACCGCACAUCAUGUACUCGGUUUUAGUGCUACUAAGCCUAAACCCUUUUGAUUUCAAGGUUUGUCUCCAUAACUCUAACUUCAUAUUUACUCCCGUCUAACUAUCGUCAACUAUCCACAAAGAGCAUACACCAUGGGAUAUCUCCUUGUAUAUCCCUCGUGGCCUCAUCCAUCAUCAAUGUAAAAAGAUAAGGGCUCAAAGCUGACCCCUAAUGCAGUCCUAUCUUAAUCGGGAAGUCAUCAGUGUCGACAUCACUUGUUCGAACACUUGUCACAACAUUAUCGUACAUGUCCUUGAUGAGGGUAAUGUACUUUGCUGGGACUUUGUGUUUCUCCAAGGCCCACCAGAUGACAUUUCGCGGUAUCUUAUCAUAGACCUUCUCUAAGUCAAUGAACACCACAUGCAAGUCCUUCUUUUGCUCCCUAUGUCUCUCCAUAAGUUGUCGUACCAAGAAAAUGGCUUCCAUGGUCGACCUCCCAGGCAUGAAACCAAACUGAUUUUUGGUCACGCUUGUCAUUCUUCUUAAGCUGUGCUCAAUGACUCUUUCCCAUAGCUUCAUUGUAUGGCUCGUCAUCUUAAUUCCACGGUAAUUAAUACAACUUUGAACAUCCCCCUUGUUCUUGAAGAUUGGUACUAAUAUACUCCGUCUUCAUUCUUCUUGCAUCUUGUUUGCCCGAAAAAUGAGGUUGAAAAGCUUGGUUAGCCAUACUAUCGCUAUGUCCCCGAGACCUUUCCACACAUCAAUGGGGAUACAAUCAGGGUCCAUCGCCUUGCCUCCUUUCAUCCUUUUUAAAGCCUCCUUGACCUCAGACUCCUGGAUUCGCCGCACAAAACGCACGCUGGUCUCAUCAAAGGAGUCGUCCAGUUCAAUGGUAGAACUCUCAUUCUCCCCAUUGAACAGCUCGUCGAAGUACUCCCGCCAUUUAUGCCUAAUCUCCUCGUCCUUCACCAAGAGUUGGUCUGCUCCGUCCUUGAUGCAUUUGACUUGGCCAAUAUCCCUCGUGUUCCUCUCUCGGAUCUUGGCCAUCUUAUAGAUGUCCCUUUUGCCUUCCUUCGUGCCUAACCGUUGGUAGUGGUCCUCAUAUGCCCGACCCCUUGCUUCACUAACAGCUCGCUUUGCGGCCUUCUUCGCCAUCUUGUACUUCUCUAUGUUGUAUGCACUCCUAUCCAGGUAUAGGCGUCUGGAGCAAUCUUUCUUCUCUUUAAUCGCCUUCUGGACAUCAUCAUUCCACCAUCAGGUAUCCUUAUCUUCGCUUCUCCUUCCCCUGGACACUCCAAACUCCUCCGAGGCCACCUUACAAAUGCAAGUCGCCAUCUUCAUCCACACAUUGUCCGCAUCCCCUCCUUCCUCCCAAGGGACAUCCUUAAUGACCCUCUCCUUGAACGCCUGAGCUACCUCCCCCUUGAGCUUCCACCACUUCGUUCUAGCGACUUUGGCACGCUUAUCCCGCUGGACACGAAUCCGAAAGCGGAAGUCAGCAACCACCAGCUUAUGUUGGGGUACAACACUCUCUCCAGGUAUCACCUUACAGUCUAGGCACGCACGCCUAUCUUCUCUUCUCGAGAGGAUGAAAUCAAUCUGGCUAGAGUGUUGGCCACUACUAGAAGUCACCAUAUGUUAUUCUCUCUUUCUAAGGAGGGUGUUAGCUACAAUCAUGUCGUAGGCUAGAGCAAAACUUAAGACAUCUUCUCCUUCUUGAUUCCUGAUGCCAUAGCCAAAGCCCCCAUGCGCCCCUUCAAAACCUGUGUUAGAUGUACCCACGUGGCCAUUGAGGUCUCCUUCUAUGAAGAGAUUCUCACCAAUCGGUACACUCCUAACCAUGUCUUUCAGGCCUUCCCAGAACUCUCUCUUGGUUUUCUCAUUGUGGCCUACUUGCGGGGCAUACACGCUGAUAACAUUGAGAACCAAGUCCUCAACUACCAGCUUGACCAGGUUAAUCCGGUCCCCACGUCUCUUGACGUCUACCACUCAUACUUGAGGCUCUUGUUGAUCAAGAUGCCUAUGCCAUUUCUGUUUGCAGCCGUCCCCCUUGAAGCGGUAUCCUCCACCUCCUUCGCUUUCUGUCCUCUCCAUUUGGUUUCUUGGACGCAAAGAAUAUCAACACCUUUUCCUCACCGCUGCAUCAACUAGCUCUAGAAGCUUCCCUGUCAGAGACCCUACGUUCCAGCUACCUAAACGAAUCCUCCUAGGCUCGGCUAGUUUUCUUACCCUUCGCACUCGUCGAGUCAAAUGCGAAGACCCUUGCUCAUUUUCCACUACAUCCGGGCGCCGAUGUAGCGCGCCACUAAGGAUGCGACGACCCGAUCCUCGCUCACUUGCCACCGUACCCAGAUCAAGAUAUGGCGCGCCACCUGGGAGGUGACGGCCCGGCGCUUGCCCAUUUGCCACCACACCCGAGUUCCGAUGUGGCGCGUCGCUGAGAGGGUUACGCCCCAACGAAAAUCUUUUGGGUUUCAUCUCCAUAAGAGUGGCUGAGUUUUUACGUUGGCUCGCCAAGCCUAUCACAACCCUCCUCCUUUACCCGGGCUUGGGACCGGCUAUGUUGAGACAACAUAGACAGAGUUAACAUGGGCGGUGUUUAUACAUAAUAAUAUAAAAAUACGUGCAUUGUGGUUCCAAAGAUCUGCAACAAGGCUUUAUCCAAUGGUGUUGGCUGGUUACAUAUUUUUUAAUUCUAAAAAGGCGUGUGCAUUUCUAUAUCUUUACGAACUUAACAUGGUAUAAAAUCAUAUGUUAACGUAUAUGCGCAUACACUCACCCCUAUGAAUGCAACGCACUCAUCCCUAUGAAUCUCAAUAUCUUGAGAUUGAUGAAGUCAUCAUAGUCGAUGUGACUCUCACCAAACGAACAUCGCCGGAAAGGUUGAAAUAAAUCUAGAAACAUGGACUGUGUUUUUAGCAAAUUAUGUGUCAAAGUUAUUUAAAAUUCGCAUCUCUAACUUAAUUCAAAUGCUUUGCCAUGAUUUUUGCAACCAAACUGCAUAAUAUAUAUAUAUAAUCUACAUAAGUUGGGCUAAUCUCACUUUCUUAAAGCCGCAUAACCGCCCCUGAGGUAUCGUAGAGCAUGUUGUGGAUGGGUCACACUCCUUGCAAGGCAAGCCAUUGAAUUGUCACUUUAGAGCAUCUCCAACAGACGCCCAAUAUUAGCGUCGUGUCCAAAAAUUCACAAGUUUAGCGCGCGCGGAGUUGAAAAUAGCACUCCAGCGGACGCUGCAUAAUAGAGCACGCUGUAAAAAGUGUUCAGCGCGCCGGACGAAACUGAAUCGCAAGUCGUAUAUUUAGCGCAUGAGCUCCAACGCGCUGAACUUCUCACGUGCGCCACAGCCGCUGUUGGCCUCCUCGCGUGCGCCCCCGCCGGCCUCCUCGCAUGUGCGCGCCAGCCGGCCACGGGCGGGGCGGACCGCGGCCACGGCCACCGCGUCGGCGGNNNNNNNNNNNNNNNNNNNNNNNNNNNNNNNNNNNNNNNNNNNNNNNNNNNNNNNNNNNNNNNNNNNNNNNNNNNNNNNNNNNNNNNNNNNNNNNNNNNNNNNNNNNNNNNNNNNNNNNNNNNNNNNNNNNNNNNNNNNNNNNNNNNNNNNNNNNNNNNNNNNNNNNNNNNNNNNNNNNNNNNNNNNNNNNNNNNNNNNNNNNNNNNNNNNNNNNNNNNNNNNNNNNNNNNNNNNNNNNNNNNNNNNNNNNNNNNNNNNNNNNNNNNNNNNNNNNNNNNNNNNNNNNNNNNNNNNNNNNNNNNNNNNNNNNNNNNNNNNNNNNNNNNNNNNNNNNNNNNNNNNNNNNNNNNNNNNNNNNNNNNNNNNNNNNNNNNNNNNNNNNNNNGGCCACGGGUGGCGCGGCCACCACGGGGCGGAGCGCGGCCACGGCAUGACGAGGCGAGCAGGCCACAGCGGGGCGGAGCGCGGCCAGGGCCACGGGCGGCGGGGAAUGGCCAUGACCAUGGCGGCAAGCAGGCCACGGGCGGCGAGCUAGGUACAGGCGCGCGUGGUUAAUUUUGGGCGCCUGUUGAAGAUGCUACUGUUGCUAAUUGGGCAGUAUAUUUCUGGGCGUCUACUGAAGAUACUCGGUCAUCCGGCGCUAAAACGCUAUUUUGACGCUGUAAAAAAAAUUAGCGCGCGACUACGUAGGACGUGUGUUGGAGAUGCUCUUAUCAUCAUCAAGUACCACCACUGCCAGUGCGUGAUAACCCACUUGAACUAUAACCGACUAUCCGUUCGGACAAAACACCAAAUGCGCCUAUUCUAUGAACAUCACACUUACACAAACAUUCCUGAAGAAUAUUAACUCGAGUAUGCAAAAGAGGAUUCUAUAUACAAUCGGCUUUCGACACCUAAGAGCAACUUCAAUGGGGGACCUAUUUCGUCCGCGGCCGUCCGUUUGGGUUGGCUCGGACAGAAAAGUCGGCCCAACGCGCCGACCCAAACAGACACGCGUCCGCUUUUGUCCGCCUGCCGACCCAUUCCUGGCCCAUUUUUGAGCCAGAUUUGCAUCGGCGCGGACACAAGACGGACGCGCGCGCUCGCCCUCUUUUCUCACCGGGCCCGUUGGUCGGUGGCACAUUGGACUGGCCUCUCCACAUCAAAUAGCACACCAUCGUCCGCCUGCUUCGUCGCCGACGACGCCGGCCAUUUUUCCCGAUAAAAAGAUAGUUCUAGCGUACACAGAUAAAAGAAAAGACCAACUACUCGUCGCUUUCCGACUUCGACUCGGUAAUGUCCUCCUCCGACGUCUGAAUAUAGGCGUCAGCAUGCUGCUCGUCUUCGAAGUCCCAACCCGACGUUUCUCGUAACUUCAGUUUCAAUUGAGCGGCCUGCUUCCGCGAACGCUUGUCCUCCCGAUAGGCGGCUCGCUCCGUUCUCCUCGCGUCCCUCUCCAACCUCCUUUGCUUGUAGAACUGGCGCUCGUCGGCGAUGUCCUGCGGGAAGCGUUCGCGCCACACCACCAUGGCUUCCACGUACAUCUCGGCGAUGACGAGGCGACGCUGCCGCCUCCGGUGGACACGACGAUCCUCGUCGGUAAAAAGCCGCGGGAGAGGCGCGAGAUCCUGCGCCCGCUGGCUCGACACGUCGGGAAAAUUCAUCUCCCGACGAGGCCUCAGGAGGCGCCACGCCGCCGCGUCGUGCGCGCGGGCCGCCUCCUCUGUGGUGUCGAAGGUGCCGAGGAUGAGGCGUUUCUCGCAAAACCAGAUCUCGGAGGAGAAGCCGCCGGAGCGGCGCUCGCGGACUCCGGAAAAUCCGAAGCACCCAGGCAGCGCAUCGACAUGGUGGCGCAGAGGCGGUGAGGCUAGUGAGAGGGGGGCGAGAUGAGUGGGCGGCGGACAGAGUGUGGAUGAGGCGCCUUCUUAUAACGAGCGCCGGCCGCGGCGCGCGCGCGAACCUUUCCCGCGCGCUGGAGCGCCAAAACCAGCAUGCGCUACGCCGCUUUUCCCCGCGCGCGCGAACCUUUCCCGCGCGCUGGAGCGCCAAAACCAAGGCGACAGCAUGGCCGCUGGCAUGAUCUAAAGCGCGCACGGUCAUGAAAUGGGUCGCCCGUUGGGCGCACUGCCGACCCAAAAUUAAAACAGGGCGGACGGUGGGCGGGCGGCCGACCCAAACGGACAAAAAGCGGACAAAAACGCCAUCCGUUUGAGUCGGCCCGUUGGAGUUGCUCUAAACAUACUAGAGUUCCUCCAUAUCCUUGAAAACUAGAGGUAGUACUUGGGCAUAGAGACGGCAAACAUCACAAAAAUAAUAAUGGUAAACAUGGAUGAACGAUUAAAGCAAUACACAUAAGCAAACGGCCUUUCAUUGUUAGUGUUUCUCGUGCCGCCGCCGUCGUCAUCGGAGAAAUUUAGGUUCCCUCGCCUCCAGCUGCCAUCUUAGCCCUGAGAGGUGGGGGAGACCUCGGAUCUUCAAGAUAUUUAUGUCCUUCGCCAUUGUCUAGUGAUUAUUAUAGUUUUGUGAGAAUAAAUUUCAUCUCGUUCUUUUGACGGUGCCAUGAGAUUAAAGAGUUUUCUGUCCUCGCAGAUCCAAUUAUUCAGAUCUGAUGAGUUUAUGUUGCUGUGUCAAGCCUUUUUUGUUGGUCUAGUUCUUUGUGGAGGUGAAAUCUUUCAUCGACAUCAUGGUGAAGAUACAGUGAUUCGACGACCUGCAUUUCUAGGGGAUCAUCCCUGUCCCAAGUAGGUUCAUCGAUCAAGGCUUCCCAUCUUUUUGGAUGGGCGACUCAAGGCGCUUUCAAAAACCAUUAUUGGUAGUGUCCGUGUGGGUGAAGGAGUGACAACCUCGUUGUUCCAGUCCAAUUGCAGCCUCUUUACCGAAGUCUUUGGAGUAUUUCUUCGAGCAGAGAUUGGCGCCGUGAAGAAGGUCUUUUUAAGAGAUUUCAUUAUAAUCCUUAGUUAGGAGUUACUUUGUAUUUUCUUGAAUGUUAGGUCCAAAUCAGUGUACUUGUAAUUGUUUUGAGUAUGAAUAAAGUUACACGUGUUUCUAUUCUAAAAAUAAGUAAUACCCAUAGCUUUUCACCCAGGGUCCGACAUUACAAAGAGAUGAAUAGGAGAUGGUGAUGGUGAUGGUUGAUGCCGAAAUCUCCAUAACUCCGAUUUGUGUCGAAUCCGCCGUGGUGAAAUAGUCGGUCCGCGGAGGCGAAACUACCUAGUACGAGCUAUGGUACGAGCGGUCGCGCUCGUACCAAGCGUUGUCUUUCUCUCCUGGAUGCCACUUCUCUUUAUGAUAGGUUUCCAUCACGUCAAAUAACAUUGAUUUUCACCCACAUAUCAGUGUUCUCUCUAAUGUUUUAGAUCCCGUCGUUGGUUAAGAUCACGAUGAAAUCAAUCAAAAGGGUGUGCGCACGAGGUAAAAAAAUCUGACAAUCCUACGACUACAACAUAGAAACUAAAGGUAAACACUAAUGCAAAUUUAGACUCAUCAUGCGCAUUCGGAGGCCUCCCACGCUCCCCAACUGGGAGGUCACGGCGAUAGGAGCCCACCCCCCGGGUCGUCGAGGGGACGCCACUAGUAGAUUCAUGCUCUCUAUGCAUGGAUGCAACCGAGUCUGAGGGCCCAGGGGGCUCAUGUCCUGCCUGAGCAUGAGUCAACGCGAGGGUACCUUCAGAGAUCUCCUUAGCCCCGAUGACCGCAAUAUGUUCCAAGCAAGGUCCACACUCGUCCUGGAACACCAUCACACCGUAUGUGGCGAGAUCAGACAAGUGCUUUAGGGGAAUCGUUUGAGGAUCGAGAACCCAAAACCCGAAUGGCGAGGGAAGGGAGGGGAAGUACCUUUUUUUUUAGGUGAAGGAGGGGAAGUACCUGAAUCGAGGUUGUAGACUGUGGCCUCUCGGGCCACUACCGCCAGGCCACAAGUAACAUAGUAUUUUUUCCGAGUCGCAUGAGUAACAUUGUUGCGAGAGAAGUAAUAGCUAUUUUUUUAAUACAGUAUAUGGCAUUGCAUCCGAAAAAGAAUACAAAAGGUGUAGUAAAGCCUUAUGUUUCUAAAUUCUGUUUUUGUGUGCCGAAACUGCAAAGUUCCCGCCAGCCACGGAGAAAAUUUCGUGUUGCCCACCAUCUCGCCCACGUCAUCGAUCCGAGGCACCGGCCUCUCCACCAAUCAGCGCGCACCUCCUCCCCGCUAUAUACUUCCUCCGCCCCCGCAUCCAUUCGCAUCAGCAAUUCCCCACCUCCCAGCGAAACACCCCCGCUCCCUCUCCCACCUCCGAAGCAGCAGCAGCCAUGGCCCCCAAGGCAGACAAGAAGCCGGCCGCCGAGAGCAAGGUCGAGAAGGCGGCGGAGAAGACCCCGGCAGGCAAGAAGCCCAAGGCCGAGAAGCGGGUGCCGGCGGGCAAGACGGCGGCCAAGGAGGGCGCCGGCGGCGAGGGCAAGACUCGGGGCCGGAAGAAGGGCAGCAAGGCCAAGAAGGGCGUGGAGACGUACAAGAUCUACAUCUUCAAGGUGCUGAAGCAGGUGCACCCGGACGUGGGCAUCUCCUCCAAGGCCAUGUCCAUCAUGAACUCCUUCAUCAACGACAUCUUCGAGAAGCUCGCCGGGGAGUCGGCCAAGCUGGCGAGGUACAACAAGAAGCCCACCAUCACCUCCCGGGAGAUCCAGACCUCCGUCCGCCUCGUCCUCCCCGGCGAGCUCGCCAAGCACGCCGUCUCCGAGGGCACCAAGGCCGUCACCAAGUUCACCUCCUCCUAGGCUGAAUCUGAAUGCGUCGCCUUGUUGUAGUUGGCUGCUGUUGACUCUGCUUAUCUCUCUCAAGUAGUGGUAGUAGUAGUUGUGCACUAGAUGAUUGCCAACGCUUUGUUGGAUCCUUGGUUGUUGCUUUUGCAAGCUGAUAUCUAUGUAGAAUGUGGAAGUUGUGGUUGUGUAUCCGUAUCCACAGUGAUGAUUUGACAGAUGUUGGCUUUUCUACUCUUCUGAACUGAACGCAGCCAUGCCUGGCCAAUUUGCAUUUUGUCUGCGAGUUCUAGUGCUGAUUGAUCGGAAUGCAAA
rnacentral:lncRNA from 1 species